rnacentral:rRNA from 1 species
GCCUUUCGAAAGAAAGAUUAAUACCCGAUAGCAUAAUGAUUCCGCAUGGUUUCAUUAUUAAAGGAUUCCGGUAAAGGAUGGGGAUGCGUUCCAUUAGGUUGUUGGUGGGGUAACAGCCCACCAAGCCUUCGAUGGAUAGGGGUUCUGAGAGGAAGGUCCCCCACAUUGGAACUGAGACACGGUCCAAACUCCUACGGGAGGCAGCAUG